rnacentral:rRNA from 1 species
UACGGAAGGCAGCAGUGGGGAAUAUUGCACAAUGGGCGCAGGCCUGAUGCAGCCAUGCCGCGUGUAUGAAGAAGGCCUUCGGGUUGUAAAGUACUUUCAGUCGUGAGGAAGGUGUUAAGGUUAAUAACCUUAGCAAUUGACGUUAGCGACAGAAGAAGCACCGGCUAACUCCGUGCCAGCAGCCGCGGUAAUACGGAGGGUGCGAGCGUUAAUCGGAAUUACUGGGCGUAAAGGGCACGCAGGCGGUUAAUUAAGUUGGAUGUGAAAUCCCCGGGCUUAACCUGGGAAUGGCAUUCAAGACUGGUUAGCUAGAGUCUUGUAGAGGGGGUAGAAUUCCAUGUGUAGCGGUGAAAUGCGUAGAGAUGUGGAGGAAUACCGGUGGCGAAGGCGGCCCCUGGGACAAAGACUGACGCUCAUGUGCGAAAGCAUGGGGAGCAAACGAGGAUUAGGAUACC